GUGGCGGACGGGUGAGUAAUGCUUAGGAAUCUGCCCAAUAGUGGGGGACAACCAGGAGAAAUUCUGGCUAAUACCGCAUACGCACUACGGUGGAAAGUGGGGGACCUUCGGGCCUCACGCUAUUGGAUGAGCCUAAGUCGGAUUAGCUUGUUGGUGGGGUAAUGGCUCACCAAGGCGACGAUCCGUAGCUGGUCUGAGAGGACGAUCAGCCACACUGGGACUGAGACACGGCCCAGACUCCUACGGGAGGCAGCAGUGGGGAAUAUUGGACAAUGGGCGCAAGCCUGAUCCAGCAAUGCCGCGUGUGUGAAGAAGGCCUGCGGGUUGUAAAGCACUUUCAGUAGAGAAGAAAAGCCUGAGGUUAAUACCCUCGAGUCUUGACGUAACCUACAGAAGAAGCACCGGCUAACUCCGUGCCAGCAGCCGCGGUAAUACGGAGGGUGCGAGCGUUAAUCGGAAUUACUGGGCGUAAAGCGCGCGUAGGCGGUUUUGUAAGUCGGAUGUGAAAUCCCCGGGCUUAACCUGGGAACUGCAUUCGAUACUGCAUAACUAGAGUAUGGUAGAGGGAAGUGGAAUUCCGGGUGUAGCGGUGAAAUGCGUAGAUAUCCGGAGGAACACCAGUGGCGAAAGCGACUUCCUGG
rnacentral:rRNA from 1 species